rnacentral:lncRNA from 1 species
AAACAUAACUAGAUACCAAAAAACAUGACAAGUGACCACAAAUAUUAAGCGAUAAUAAAGCAAUUAAGCAAUUGCUGUAAACUUAUGGUUAAUCACCAUUUACGAUUAUCGAAGCGAAUUGCAAGAAACAUACACUGUAUAAAGAAAAAUCAAUAAAGUUCCGAAAUGCCACGCCAUAAACUAUUAUCCACCAGACAAUUAAUAAUUCAAAAUAGACAAGUAGGAAUGAUAGUCAGCGAGCUAUCAAAAAUAUUGCAAAUUAGCGAUUUAUAGAAUAUGCAAACAGCAUACGGAGACAGGAACAUUAUCCCGGAGGAAGUCGACUGGCCGUCCUCCAUUAACAUCUCAGGAAGAGGAAGAACAAUUAAUAAGUUUGAGCGAGAAACAACCUUCAAACCGGCGACAGUUCUUAGAGAAGAGUUGGGAUUAGCUGUAAGCGUUGAUACUGUGAAAAGACUAAGUAAUCAGUUGAGAAACUACAAAAAAUAUCACGGAAAAGUUACAAUAUCGUUUUUAGAAAGUGUAGUUAAUCAGAAAACCUGAUUUUUAA